rnacentral:rRNA from 1 species
CAUGCAGUCGAACGAUGAACCAYCUUCGGGUGGGGAUUAGUGGCGAACGGGUGAGUAACACGUGGGCAAUCUGCCCUGCACUCUGGGACAAGCCCUGGAAACGGGGUCUAAUACCGGAUACUGACCUGCCAAGGCAUCUUGGCGGGUCGAAAGCUCCGGCGGUGCAGGAUGAGCCCGCGGCCUAUCAGCUUGUUGGUGAGGUAAUGGCUCACCAAGGCGACGACGGGUAGCCGGCCUGAGAGGGCGACCGGCCACACUGGGACUGAGACACGGCCCAGACUCCUACGGGAGGCAGCAGUGGGGAAUAUUGCACAAUGGGCGAAAGCCUGAUGCAGCGACGCCGCGUGAGGGAUGACGGCCUUCGGGUUGUAAACCUCUUUCAGCAGGGAAGAAGCGAAAGUGACGGUACCUGCAGAAGAAGCGCCGGCUAACUACGUGCCAGCAGCCGCGGUAAUACGUAGGGCGCAAGCGUUGUCCGGAAUUAUUGGGCGUAAAGAGCUCGUAGGCGGCUUGUCGCGUCGGUUGUGAAAGCCCGGGGCUUAACCCCGGGUCUGCAGUCGAUACGGGCAGGCUAGAGUUCGGUAGGGGAGAUCGGAAUUCCUGGUGUAGCGGUGAAAUGCGCAGAUAUCAGGAGGAACACCGGUGGCGAAGGCGGAUCUCUGGGCCGAUACUGACGCUGAGGAGCGAAAGCGUGGGGAGCGAACAGGAUUAGAUACCCUGGUAGUCCACGCCGUAAACGGUGGGCACUAGGUGUGGGGCAACAUUCCACGUUGUCCGUGCCGCAGCUAACGCAUUAAGUGCCCCCGCCUGGGGGAGUACGGCGCAAGGCUAAAACUUCAAAGGAAUUGACGGGG